UGACUAACACUUAGACAAAAAGUCGAAAAAGAGGUCAAAACCCGUCAUAACGACACGUAAACACGUACAUAGCACCGCGUAGGUAUUAGGCAUGCAUUACAACAUAUGGGACUCGAUUCCGACUUACAUAGGCCGAGUUAUCAGCCUGUAGGCAAAACUGACCAACACUUUAGUAAAAAAUCGAAAAAGAGUCCAAAACCCGCCUCGGCCAUCGUAACAAUAUGCAAACUUGUAUAUAGCACAGCGUAGGUAUUAGGAACGCGUUACAAAUUACGGAAUUCGUUUCUGACAUACGGAGGCCAAGUUAUCAGCCCGUAGGCAAAAUUGACCAAUACUUAGGCAAAAAGUCAAAAAAGAGGCCAAAACUCGUCUCGGUCGUCAUAAUGACACACAAACACAUACAUAGCACUACGUAUGUAUUAGACACGCGUUACAACUUAUGGAACUCGAUUCCAACUUACGGAGGCCGAGUUACCAGCCCGUAGGCAAAACUGACCAACAAUUAUGCAAAAUGUCGAAAAAGAGACCAAAACCCGCCUCGGCCGUAGUAACAACACGCAAACACGUGCAUAGUACCGCAUAGGUAUUCGGCACGCGUUAAAACUUACGGGACGCGAUUCCAACUUACAGAGGUCGAGUUAUCACCCCGUAGUCAAAACUGACUAACACUUAGGCAAAAAGUCGAAAAAGAGGCCAAAACCCACUUCAGCCGUCGUAACAACACGUAAACACAUACAUAGCACCGCGUAGGUACUAGGCACACGUUACAACUUACGGGACUAAUUUCUGACUUACGGAGGCCGAGUUAUCAGUCCAUAGAUAAAACUCGCCAACACUUAGGCAAAAAGUCAAAAAAGAGGCCAAAAUUCGUCUCGAUCGUCGUAACAACACGCAAACACAUAAUAGCACAAUGUAGAUAUUAGGCACGCGUUACAAUAUAUGUUACUCGAUUUCGACUUACGGAGGCCGAGUUAUUAGCCCGUAGGCAAAACUGACCAACACUUAGGUAAAAAGUUAAAAAAGAGGCCAAAACCCGCCUCGGCCGUUAUAACGAUACGAAAACACAUGCAUAGUACUGCAUAGGUAUUAGGCACACGUUAAAACUUGCGGGACUCGAUUCCAACUUACGUAGGCCGAGUUAAUAGUCCGUAGGCAAAAUUGACCAACACUUAGGUAAAAAAUCAGAAAAAAGGCUAAAACCCGCCUCGGCCGUCGUAAUGUCACGCAAACUCGUACAUAGUACCGCGUAGGUAUUAGGCAUGCGUUACAACUUAUGGAACUCGAUUCUGACUUACGGAGGCCGAGUUAUCAGCCCGUAGGCAAAACUGACCAACACUUAGGUAAAAAGUCGAAAAAGAGGCCAAAAUCCGCCUCAGCCAUCUUAACGAUACGCAAACACAUGCAUAGCACCGCGUAGGUAUUAGGCACGCAUUACAACUUACGGGACUCAAUUUCGAGAUACGGAGGCCGAGUUAUCAGCCCGUAGGAAAAACUGACCAACACUUAGGUAAAAAGUCGAAAAAGAUGCCAAAACCCACCUCGGUCGUCGUAACAACACGCAAAUACAUGCAUAGCACUGCAUGGGUAUUAGGCA
rnacentral:lncRNA from 1 species